rnacentral:rRNA from 1 species
UACGUAGGGUGCGAGCGUUGUCCGGAAUUACUGGGCGUAAAGAGCUCGUAGGUGGUUUGUCGCGUCGUCUGUGAAAUUCCGGGGCUUAACCUCGGGCGUGCAGGCGAUACGGGCAAUACUUGAGUGCUGUAGGGGAGACUGGAAUUCCUGGUGUAGCGGUGGAAUGCGCAGAUAUCAGGAGGAACACCGAUGGCGAAGGCAGGUCUCUGGGCAGUAACUGACGCUGAGGAGCGAAAGCAUGGGUAGCGAACAGG